UACGUAGGUGGCAAGCGUUGUCCGGAUUUAUUGGGUUUAAAGGGUGCGUAGGUGGUCAAUUAAGUCAGUGCUGAAAUAUCCCGGCUUAACCGGGAGGGUGGCAUUGAUACUGAAUGACUUGAGUGGAGUUGAGGUAGGCGGAAUUGACGGUGUAGCGGUGAAAUGCUUAGAUAUCGUCAAGAACACCGAUAGCGAAGGCAGCUUACCAAGCUCUAGCUGACACUGAUGCACGAAAGUGUGGGGAUCAAACAGG
rnacentral:rRNA from 1 species